CCCCCAUACAUAAAACGCAGUACACACGCUCCCUUCCUCUCUCUCGUCCUCCGAUUCUUCACAGCACAAGACCAUCAGCUUCUCUCCUCUUCAUCUGACAUCCCUCUCCCUUUCUCUAGGGUUUUCUUUUCUCUCGUUUAAUUCUUUAAGCUCUACGUAAAAGCCAAAACGCUGUGUUCCACCUCACUUUCUCUCCAUCGCUAUACAUAUAUAGAUACAGAUAUAGAUAUCUUUGUAUAUGCAAGUGCUGCUUGUGAUGGCAACAGCACCAGUGAAGCCGCAGCCGCUGCAUAACUUCCCGCUCUCCCUCAAAUGGGGGCAGACCACCGCGCUCUCCGCCCCGACCAACCACCACCCCCACCAUCGGAGUACCAGUACCGGUCGUAUCACGUCCGCACUUGCUCCUGACUCUGAGACCGAAUCUGAUCAGGAACUAACAACUGUCCGGAAUCCUCCCCGGGUCGGAUCUCGCUCUGCUCGAGUCCAUCGCUUCUCCUUUACCUCAUGCUCCUCCCUUAUCCCAAAACCAAAAAACUCAUCGAUGGAAAAUAUGCAGAAACAAACAACGGUCUUGGAAACGGAAGUCGCUGAAAAGCCACGGAAGCAAGUUACGGUUUUGGAAAACAACGGAGCUGAUGCUGAAGAAGAAGAAGUGGAGGAGAAACAAAAGCAAGAAGAGGAAGAAGGGAAUUCGAGGCCGUGGAAAUUGAGACCAAGAAAAGGGAUUUUAGCCGCAAAGAAUGGAGGGGAAUUGAAGGAAGCGGUGAUGCUGCAUGUAAAUGAGCAGAGAGAGAGGGAUAAUACACCGCAGCUUCAGCCGAAAUCGAUGAGAUUGAGGGGAUUUGUAGAGUCUGCCGGAGGAGGCGGGGGGCUCUGCUUGGAAAAGAAGGAGAAGAGGAAGUUCUGGAUUGCUUUGUCUAGAGAAGAGAUUGAGGAGGAUAUUUUCGCUUUGACUGGGUCUAGACCUGCUAGAAGGCCAAGGAAACGACCCAAGAACGUGCAGAAAGUGCUUGAUAAUGUUUUUCCUGGAUUGUGGUUGGUGGGAACGACAGCUGAUUCUUAUAGAGUUGCCGAUCCUCCGGUGAAGAGAUAAAUAUACUAAUAUGGAUCAGCAGAUAUUUGAGGUUUUCCUGAAACGUUUGAAGUGCUGCUUCCGCAAAACUGAGGCCUCAAUUUGAGGCUUCCCUGCAUCAUUAGGGAGCAGAGUAGCACGCAUCUUGUUUGUUUCAAAACUUAAUUCAGGACCUGAUUUCUGAGAGGCAUUGCUUGCUUCCUUGUUCUGGAAGUCCUUUUCUCCAUUUGAUUGAGAUUUGUCGUGUCAAAUUCCUGAUGAGGUUGAAUCCUUCUGUGUUGAUGUAUUUUUUUCACUUAAAUAUUUAUAUAGUUAAUUCAUAGGUUGAAUGGUUGCAAGUAAUACUUUUGUUCUUUUUUCUCUGAGAGUUAUUUAAUCAAAUCAUGAUCCUUCUUGAUGAAGACAAUGUUCAAUGCAAUAUGAUGACUGCAUAUUUUGAUGCAUAGUUUGGGAAUUCUGAUGUUCUUUUCUGGAUUAUUGUCUUCUCUUGUAUAUAGGUUCUUCAAUUAGAACAAUUUCAUUUAACACUUACUCAAGUCAAUGCCUAUUUUCGUAAUAACUAGGUUUUGCUUUGCAAUGUUGCUAGCCCAUUUUUAAGCGUCUUCUAAAGCUUUAGAAUGUGGUGAGGUUUCCAUUGCAUCCAGAUCCCACAGUUGAAUUUCUCAAGAAUUUGAAUGUUUUCAUGGAUUACAAUUUUGUAGUGCUCACAGCUAUGCAAAAGAUGCAUGAAAAUGAUUAGCUAGGAGUGGAAUCUGAUAUUGGAAGGAUAUUUGCAUAAAACAAGCUUCUUUCAUCCCUGGGAACUUUUGUCUAGUAGGGUGAAAUAUGAAUCAGUAUUAAGUCCAUUACGGAAGAAAACAUAGCUUUGAGCCAUGUUUUAUGUGUAUUAAUUAAUCUUGUAUAUUCAGUGGGUUUUUUGGUCUCCAACAGUUGUGCAGCUAAGCUACCACAGAUCCACACUUGGAGUUGCUGGCAUAAAAGAUAGAAUAACUAUGUUCUACUAUUAUUUUAUUGACGAUUUUUACAUAUGCUGUUCUGUCCAGAUGCUUAAAUGAUAAGUGAAUUAAAAUGGUGUCCUUUUAUGUUAACACUGCAAUUCAUCUAUUUCUGGUAAUUGUAGACUUGGUCAUAGUUGAGGGAAUACUUCUAUAGCUUUUGGAGCUCAUUUCUCGUGUCUUUCUUACGAAAUGGUGGGUUGCUUUGAAGUUGAUAUUCUGGAGAAAACUUUUUCUUUUUGUCGAAUGGAGAAAACAUUAAUAUAUGCUAUGUUAUGAGCUUUCUUUCGGUGUUUUAUCAUUUUUCAUAAAUUCCAUCUUGGGCGUUGGUCUUUCCGUAUAAAUCAACGAGGAUUUUAAUUUCUUUCACACUUUUACUCAAUGUCUUUACUUUUAUCGUAUGGAUAAAUUCUGGGGAAUGUAGCAAGUAUAAUUUCAAUGAGAGUUCCGUAUGACGUAUGCACAUAUUAAAGGCAAGAGCAAUUUGUGAUAUUGAAGCUUCUGCAUGAUGGUUAACUUUUGGUAAGGAAAAGUAUUUUGGUCCGGUUAUAUUCUUAUUUCUUCAGGGUAAACACAGAUUGUUCCUGCAUGUUGGCUUGGUGGCUAACUUGAUGAAAUUUCAGUAGAACCCCAGUCUCUGCAUUAUGAUCACAGAGUUGUACUCCUUGCCAGGGGUGACAAAUCCGUGAUUGUCUAUUGCUCAGCAAUCAAGAACACGGGAAACAAGUUAGUAAGGGCAAAUUUCUACCUGGGGAAUUAACUUUUAUUCACAUAAUCCUCAUCUAGUUUAUGUGCAUGCUGUAAUUGCUCUUGGAAAUAUGUCCCAUGGAUCUAGAUGGGUUAAAACUAGCCAGUUUUGACUCGAGCUAGAAUUGGAAAUAUUCAGAAUCUGCGUCAACGUGGGCGGUCUGUCAUUUUAGUGAGGUUGCAUGGUUCUUUAUCAUUAAUGGGAAGUCAAAAUAUUUGUCUAACUCAAGUUGAUUUAUCUGUGUCCUGAUAGAAUAAUGCUUUUAUGAUAGUUAUGGAUUCACAGGUUGAUUUCCAUGGCCUCCUUUUCCUCUGCCCCGCUCUCCCCCAUUAUAGUUUGGAUUAACAUUUCUUACUACCUACCAUCUCGAAACAAAUUAAUAGUUGUUCUUUCUUUAUCAAGUAAAGUGGCAUGGUUUUUAAUUGGCAAGCCAACACAAGUGGAGUUAACUUAUGAUUCCUUUAUUGUGAAGCAUCCAAGAUGAACAAGUAAUAUGGAGCCAUGUCAGGGAGGAAUAUGAUGUUGAAGCUCCAUUCUUCACUAAACCAUGCAUGAUGGUAAGAGACUUGUGAACCAAUCUUGUUUAUACCUAAAUUUGUGAAAAGCGCAACUCAUCUUCCUCUAUUGGAUUGGCUAUGCAUAGCAAGGAAGGAUCGUUCUGUUCAUGCUAUCAUUCCAUUUCCUCAGUUUUCUUUUAUUUGACGUAUUUAUAUUCAACUAAGCCAUAAUCUUCUCUAUUGGGAAUGGACUUGGUCAAUGAGAAAUUAAUACAAUACAACUUUAGAUCAGAUUUAUCAUAAUUUCAAA